rnacentral:tRNA from 1 species
GGGGCUGUAGCGCAGUGGCCGUCGCGCCUCUACCGCAUGGAGGAGGACACCGGUUCGAAUCCGGUCGGUCCCA